rnacentral:tRNA from 1 species
UAUAUUUUAGUGUAUUUUGCACUAAGAAUUUUGAAUUCUUAAGUUAAGGUAAAUAACCUUAAGAUAUAA